ensembl:snRNA U4 U4 spliceosomal RNA
AGCUUAGCACAGUGGCAGUAUCGUAGCCAAUGAGGUUUAUUCGAGGCACGAUUAUUGCUAAUUGAAACAAAUGAGAAAGGAAUAACCAGGAUGAGAAAACAAUUCCAAACCUGGAUACACCUAACAGCAUAGUCUCAAAAGAA